rnacentral:rRNA from 1 species
GACGAACGCUGGCGGCGUGCCUAAUACAUGCAAGUAGAACGCUGAAGGAGGAGCUUGCUUCUCCGGAUGAGUUGCGAACGGGUGAGUAACGCGUAGGUAACCUGCCUGGUAGCGGGGGAUAACUAUUGGAAACGAUAGCUAAUACCGCAUAAGAGUAGAUGUUGCAUGACAUUUGCUUAAAAGGUGCAAUUGCAUCACUACCAGAUGGACCUGCGUUGUAUUAGCUAGUUGGUGGGGUAACGGCUCACCAAGGCGACGAUACAUAGCCGACCUGAGAGGGUGAUCGGCCACACUGGGACUGAGACACGGCCCAGACUCCUACGGGAGGCAGCAGUAGGGAAUCUUCGGCAAUGGACGGAAGUCUGACCGAGCAACGCCGCGUGAGUGAAGAAGGUUUUCGGAUCGUAAAGCUCUGUUGUAAGAGAAGAACGAGUGUGAGAGUGGAAAGUUCACACUGUGACGGUAUCUUACCAGAAAGGGACGGCUAACUACGUGCCAGCAUCCGCGGUAAUACGUAGGUCCCGAGCGUUGUCCGGGAUUUAUUGGGCGUAAAGCGUGCGCAUGCUGUUAGAUAAUUCGGAAGUUUAAUGCUGUGGCUUAACCAUUGUACGCUGUGGGAAACUGUUUAACUGUAGUGCAAGAGUGUAUGUGGAAUUCCUUGUUGUAGCGUGUGAAAUGCGUAUGAUAUAUGUAGAACAUCUGUGGUUUAAUUGUGCUGUUGUGUGGUGUUUGUGUGUUGUGUGUGAUCGUGGUGAUCAUAGUGUAUAGAGACCUGUGUGGUGUAGGUGUGAUCUGUGGUGAGUGGUGUGUGUGUGUGCUGCUAUGUGGGUGGAAAAAAAAAUAGAUGAAUUUUGUUGUGUGGUUUGUUGUUGUGGUGUGUUGGUUUGCUGUUUUUUUUUCGUGUGUGUGUGUGUUGUGCCCCUUGUGUUGCCCUGUUUAUUUGUUGUUGUGU